CAGGACAGGAGUUAAGACCAGGACACAUCCCUGUGGUAGUGGACAUGUUGGCACGAACCAUCAAACAACCCUCCUUUCUGUGGUGACUCAGCUCCGGCAAUGCAACAGUCUCUGUCCUGUGAAAAAAGCUGUACGAAGCCAUAGAUCAGCAGAAUAUUCGCCAGCCAAUCUCCUUGGACCUGACCUCUUCUUGGCAGUGAAAGAUGGUGACCGACAGCUGUUCUCUGGAGCUCUGCACCACUAAAAGGGAUGAUGGGAAAGUGAUGCAGAGAGGGAGGCAGAAAAGGGUGGAAAGGAGGAAAUGAGCAGCCAUUAAAAGAUGAAACAUUGAAGAUUAGGGAUGGAAGGAAAGUGGAGACAGAGCUGUUAGACUGACUCCCUGUGGAGGGAGGAGGCCACAGAGGAGCCUCACUGCUGCAGCAUGGAUGAAUAUAGCCCAAGAUUAUGCUCAAUUAGAACAUUAACUGUAAUUGUUUAUGCAGUAACACUGCUAAUUGUUUCCGACAACACUAACCUAAUACGACUCUUGGUGGAUCCAUAGUACUACAGUUUAUGGUAGUCAGUC